rnacentral:rRNA from 1 species
GACGAACGCUGGCGGCGUGCUUAACACAUGCAAGUCGAACGGAAAGGCCUGCUUUCCCUUGUGGAUUGCGGGUACUCGAGUGGCGAACGGGUGAGUAACACGUGAGUGAUCUGCCCCCAACUUGGGUAUAAGCCUGGGAAACUGGGUCUAAUUCCCGAUAGGACUGCAGGGUGGUGCCUGUGGUGGAAAACGAUUUUCUAGUGGUUGGGGAUGAGCUGGCGGCCUAUCAGCUUGUUGGUGGGGUAAUGGCCUACCAAGGCGGCGACGGGUAGCCGGCCUGGGAGGGUGGACGGCCACAUUGGGACUGGGAUACGGCCCAGACGCCUACGGGAGGCAGCAGUGGGGAAUAUUGCACAAUGGGCGGAAGCCUGAUGCAGCGACGCCGCGUGGGGGAUGACGGCCUUCGGGUUGUAAACUCCUUUCGACCGCGAGGAAGCCACCUGGUUGGAAGGGUGGUGACGGUAGUGGUAGAAGAAGCACCGGCUAACUACGUG